CUAUGCACACUUCACCAUAUCCAAAACAUCUCAUAUAAGGAUCAAAAAAUUAAGCUAGAGAAUGAACUAAAAUAUGGAUUCAUAUACACAAGGUAUCAUGGUAAUCUCAGCUCUAAGGAUCACUUGUACAACUCCUACUAGAGAGCAACCAGCUGACAUGAAAAUAAGACUCCAUCAGAUAUUUUCUCAUAGGUCAAUUUAGUGAACUCAUUCUCUAAUGAGCAUCCACAUCCUUGUAUUAUUGUCACACAUAAGUGG
rnacentral:lncRNA from 1 species